rnacentral:rRNA from 1 species
CUUAAAAAUAGUGGCAAACGGGUGAGUAACACGUAGGUAACUUGCCCCUAAGUUUGGGAUAACUUCGGGAAACCGGGGCUAAUACCGGAUGUGGUGCGUGGAUUAUGUCCAUUCACUAAAGCCUUAGGGCGCUUGGGGAGAGGCCUGCGUCCGAUUAGCUUGUUGGUGGGGUAAUGGCUCACCAAGGCUAAGAUCGGUAGCUGAUCUGAGAGGACGGUCAGCCACACUGGGACUGAGACACGGCCCAG